AACGAACGCUGGCGGCAGGCUUAACACAUGCAAGUCGAGCGCCCCGCAAGGGGAGCGGCAGACGGGUGGGUAACGCGUGGGAACAUACCCUUUCCUGCGGAAUAGCUCCGGGAAACUGGAAUUAAUACCGCAUACGCCCUACGGGGGAAAGAUUUAUCGGGGAAGGAUUGGCCCGCGUUGGAUUAGCUAGUUGGUGGGGUAAAGGCCUACCAAGGCGACGAUCCAUAGCUGGUCUGAGAGGAUGAUCAGCCACAUUGGGACUGAGACAAGGCCCAAACUCCUACGGGAGGCAGCAGUGGGGAAUAUUGGACAAUGGGCGCAAGCCUGAUCCAGCCAUGCCGCGUGAGUGAUGGAGGCCUUAGGGUUGUAAAGCUCUUUCACCGGAGAAGAUAAUGACGGUAUCCGGAGAAGAAGCCCCGGCUAACUUCGUGCCAGCCGCCGCGGUAA
rnacentral:rRNA from 1 species